AAAAAAAAAAAAAAGCGUGUGCAUGUACUAACACGUGAACACAUGCACACAUACACACAAAUGAAGACCAGAGUGACCAGGGCAACAGUAUUUUUAAUCUUCUCCUGAAGGUCAGGUCCAGAUGCCACUUUUGUCAACAACACAGCUUUGUGUCCCAGCAAAGGAACUUCUCACACAUCUGCCUGGCAUUUGGCAGAAGGUAACCUCUGAGGCAAUCAGAUUUUAACAAGCCCAUUCACGUAGAAAGUUGCUUUCUUUUUUGGUUCAUCCCCAGAAGUACUUCCUUCCCCACCACCUCCCAUCCCCCACAGCAAAGGACUUAGCCUUAGCCUGGCUAUCACUAUAAAAUGGCCCCUCUGAGGGGCCUCCUUCCUCUCAGCUAUUGGAGGAAGGAGAGUAUUUGGAGCAUUUCCGGCCCUUCUUGGCCGGCUGCCUGAACCCUGCAGCCAAGACACAUUUGACUGGGACUCCCCCAUGGAGAGAAGUCCUCCCAGGUCCUCUGCAAGGGGCAUCUGUGCUUUGGCUAUGGACAUACCCUAAAGUGCCAGGUGGAUGGAAGAGCUCCUGGGACCAGCAGGUUGGGAGCAUCAAUUCACGUUGGCUAGAAAUGUGACUUCUUUAGUAUUUACCAUUUUAACAAAAUCCAUGAUAAGUGAUUUGGAAGGUCCCACGGAGAGGAUGAAAUGACACCUUUCUGUUACCCAGUUUCUUUAAGACCUCCAUGGUUGAGAAGAGAGGACAAAGGAACACCCCCACCUCUGCCAUCCUCCGAGGGAUUUUUCACAGCAAUUCCAGUGCUGCUCAGUGGAAAGCUCCGCAAGUCAACUGCAAACCCCCGGCCCCAGACGUUAGACAUUUACAAACUUUGUUGCUGAUUUAUCAGCACUCUUCUGCGAUUUUGGGGGCAGGAGCAAACACAAGCUUAAGUCACCACACAGGCUCCAACCCUUACCCCAAGAUGGGGGAAAAACUCCAAAGGAGAUGCAGGAGGGAGCCUCAGCAGUCACUGUGAGAGCACAAAGAGGCCAAGACCCAGGGUAGGCAAAGGAAGGUGAGAGGCACCAGCAGGGCAGGAGGAGGAGUCAGCUGUAAACAUGGAGGCUUCCCGCCCCCCACAUAGCAAGCUAUGGAAGGAAGCUUCCAGCAAGAUUCAUGUCUAAGCUUUUCAAGUUAAAGUCUUGGCUACAUCUACAAUGAAGGGUGCCUGAACAACUUCUUGAGGGAAUAAGGCAGAAUUUCCCCUUUAUGCGGAUAACAAAAGAGCUAGCCACCCUGAGAACUUGCCACAUCCCAAUUUUCAGAGAUGGUCAGUCUCUCAGAAGAAUCCUGGCGAUCAGCUAUCAGAACCUGUCCAGUUCCGCAUGUGAGAAGGUAAUCCAAGGCAUCAUCGAGAGGAAGGGGCAUCAGGAUUCAUGGACAACAAAAAAAUCUCUGAUUCCUCCAAAAGGCGUGUGGGUCAGAGAGCUCCCAAAGAGGCUGCCUCCACCAGUUCUCAUUUCACGUUGGGAGGUUACAGGGUGGGUCUUGUUUUCUUGGCUUUUCCCCAUCUAAUCCAAAAGCCAAGGUCACAACCUCUUAGCAAUGGGGUGACAAUCUCAUAUAGAGCUGCAGUAAACAGCCAUUCUUGCCAAGCUGAUAUUAACAUUUCUUUUUUCUUUUUGAUGUUACACACAAUCCUGUCCUUGCUGUACCAGAAAGCCAUUUCACCCAUCUGUCUGGGAAGAUGAUCCAAUUUUGGUGCUUUUAUCAUCAAUGCUUUCAGCAACUUUGUUCUACUUCCCCUACUGUAAUUACUUUUGAAUCAUCAACACACCCAGACAGCCUUAAACCUCAGAGAACAGAAUGCUAAAAAAGAAAAAAAAAAUCUGCAAUGGCAAGUAACUUCACUAAAUAGCCACCCAAGCUAGGAGCAAUUUGUUUCUUUCCAGAAAUUUACUUAAUAAUAAUAAGUACCUCACACUCCUUCCCCUUUUUCCAAAGGCAGGCAAGGCAUGGAGAUGGGAUGUUAUGGACAGGAGGGAGUGGGGAGAAGGAGGAACUCCAAAAGGAGCUAAUUAAAACGUCUGCUUCCCCAGUCCCCCAGCUUUUGUUUUUUGUUUUGUUUUGAAGAUGUAGGUUUUGUUUGUAAAUGAUGUGGGACUGAGAAAGUUGGCUGAGUGGCUGAUGGGUGCCUAAGCAGCCCAGGAAGAAAGUAUGCCUUCUCUGGAAUGCAAUCAAAUUACAUGGGGAGGGGCUGGGGAGGGGCCGGGCGCGGUGGCUCAGGCCUGUAAUCCCAGCACUUUGGGAGCCUGAAGCGGGCUGAUCACCUCAGGAGUGAAGACCAGCCUGGGCAAUUGGCGAAACCCGUCUGUACUAAAAAUACAAAAAAAUUAGCCAGGCGUGAUGGCGCGCGCCUGUAAUCCCAGCUACUCGGGAGGCUGAGGCAGGAGAAUUGCUUGAAUCUGGGAGGCGGAGGCUGCAGUGAGCUGAGAUCACGCCACUGCACUCUAGCUUGGGCAACAGAGUGAGGCUCCGUCUCAAUUAAAAAAUAAAAAUAAAAAAUUACAUGGGGAGGGACAGACUCAGUGGCUGCUGGCUUAAACCACACACACAAAAAAA